rnacentral:rRNA from 1 species
UCAGCAUACUGCCGUGAAUACGUUCCCGGGCCUUGUACACACCGCCCGUCACACCAUGAGAGUUGGGGAUACCCGAAGCCUGUGAGCUAACAGUAAUGGAGCAGCAGUCGAAGGUAGAAUCAAUGAUUGGGGUGAAGUCGUAACAAGGUAUC